UGGUUCUGUAGGUGUACAGAAAUUACACCUCAAACAGAGUACCAUCUGCUGUAAGUUACUUCAAGGGAUCUGGUUUUGAGUGUUGCAGGAUCAUCUGCUGAAGCUACACUGGCUGGUUCUCACCCCAAAGGUUGGUGUAGGUGUCACUUCAGGGGGAGUUAACCAGAUAUGUUUAUAUUUUUCUUUUUGGUUGCAUUUGAGUGUCUAAUUACCUGCUUGCUUUCUUUUCUUUUCUUUUUUCUUUCUUUCUUUUAAUUGUCAGUCUCUUUGACUGUUUUAGAUCAAUAAGGGACGUCCCCGUAUUCAAGGAACAGUUUCAACAUGACAAUGACGGUAAGCUUAACUCUAAAUAUUACCUUUAUAAUCAGAAUUUGUGCUCUUUAUUGUCUGCUUUUGAACUAUAAAUUUUUUUAUAUAAUUGACACCUUUUA